AGCUUUCUCCCUGCCCCCAACUCAGCCUGGGCUUUUUCCUGUCUCUUAACUCCACCAGUUCAGCAGUGAGCUGUGUGUGUGUGUGUGUGUAAAAGGGGUGGGGGGGCUAGACCAAGCCCGCCUGCCUGUCACUGGAGUUUUAGUUUGCAUUCUGAAGAAAGGAGGAGGGGGAGGGAGGAGGGAGAAGGGAGGGAGAAUGUCUUGUUUGUGGCUUGUCAGCAAUUGCUUGAGACAAGCUUCCAUGUGUGAAAGCUACUUGGCAUGAAUGCCUGGGCCAUACCAAGUCUCCCGGCAGCGAGAGGGGGAGGCUGAAGAAAAAACAGAGCAGAGCAGAGCAGACAAUAGGCCCCUAAAGUGUUCCCCCUAAGUUGCUUUGAUGUUGUCCUAGGAUCUUGAUACCAGGAGGCCGGGGGAGUGCAGGGAAAGGGUCGUGGGUUUUUUUUGUGUUGCCAUUCACUUUCCCCCCCUUUCGCCUUGGCGGAAUCAUUCUCCAGAAAUUCUCCUCAUAACACACAAUUUAAAAAAGAGGGAGAGGGAGCGAAAGCCAGCGAGACAGAAAGAAAAGAAAAGAUGCUGGUUGAUUGAUUCUGCGGUUAUCAAGCAAACUGACUGAGCUGAGAUUUCAAGGGGAGACUCUUGGACUGAAAUCAAGCUCUCAGAUUACUGGACCACACUGCCUGUGACUAGGCUUCAAGAUGCAAACUCAACCCCUUCUGCUUCUGAUGCAUCUUUGCUUGGACCUCAACCAAAAGAAUCAAUAUGCAGAGUGACGUAUUGCUAAAUAGUGACUGGGUAUUACUAGGUUUGAUGG